CCCAGACUCCUACGGGAGGCAGCAGUGGGGAAUAUUGCACAAUGGGGGAAACCCUGAUGCAGCGACGCCGCGUGAGCGAUGAAGUAUUUCGGUAUGUAAAGCUCUAUCAGCAGGGAAGAAGAUGACGGUACCUGACUAAGAAGCCCCGGCUAACUACGUGCCAGCAGCCGCGGUAAUACGUAGGGGGCAAGCGUUAUCCGGAUUUACUGGGUGUAAAGGGAGCGUAGACGGCAGUGCAAGUCCGGAGUGAAAGCCCGGGGCUCAACCCUGGGACUGCUCUGGAAACUGUAAAGCUGGAGUGCGGGAGGGGCAGGCGGAAUUCCUGGUGUAGCGGUGAAAUGCGUAGAUAUCAGGAGGAACACCGGUGGCGAAGGCGGCCUGCUGAACUGCAACUGACGUUGAGGCCCGAAAGCGUGGGGAGCAAACAGGAUUAGAUACCCGUGUA
rnacentral:rRNA from 1 species